rnacentral:rRNA from 1 species
UGGGGAAUUUUGGACAAUGGGCGCAAGCCUGAUCCAGCAAUGCCGCGUGCAGGGUGAAGGCCUUCGGGUUGUAAACUGCUUUCGUACGGAACGAAAAGCCUCUCUCUAAUACAGGGGGUGAUGACGGUACCGUAAGAAUAAGCACCGGCUAACUACGUGCCAGCAGCCGCGGUAAUACGUAGGGUGCAAGCGUUAAUCGGAAUUACUGGGCGUAAAGCGUGCGCAGGCGGUUUUGUAAGACAGUGGUGAAAUCCCCGGGCUCAACCUGGGAACUGCCAUUGUGACUGCAAGGCUGGAGUGCGGCAGAGGGGGAUGGAAUUCCGCGUGUAGCAGUGAAAUGCGUAGAUAUGCGGAGGAACACCGAUGGCGAAGGCAAUCCCCUGGGCCUGCACUGACGCUCAUGCACGAAAGCGUGGGGAGCAAACAGGAUUAGAUACCCUGGUAGUCCACGCCCUAAACGAUGUCAACUGGUUGUUGGGGGAUUUAUUUCUUCAGUAACGAAGCUAACGCGUGAAGUUGACCGCCUGGGGGAGUACGGCCGCAAGGUUAAAAACUCAAAAUGAAUUGACGGGGUCAUAGCUGUUUCCU